AUAUAUAGAAACGUCAACGACGAAACUUAAAUUGGAAAAAUCACAAACUCUGCAGUGCGAGUGUGCGACUGCGGCAGCGAGCAGUAAGCAAGAGCAAAGGGGAAGAAGAUGAACCCACAGACCAGCGAUGGCAGACACGACGAUGAUGCAGCACUCUCCGAAUUUCUUGCUUCUUUAAUGGAUUAUACUCCCACCAUUCCUGAUGAAUUGGUGGAACAUUACCUCGCUAAAAGCGGUUUCCAAUGUCCUGAUGUUCGAUUGAUUAGACUUGUGGCUGUUGCUACUCAAAAGUUUAUUUCGGAGGUUGCCACCGAUGCACUUCAGCACUGCAAAGCAAGGCAAUCUUCUGUGGUAAAAGAUAAAAGAGAUAAGCUACAAAAGGACAAGCGUCUUGUGUUGACGAUGGAGGACCUAUCAAGAGCUCUAAAAGAGAUCUGUUGACAUACCCUAUAAUACUUGCGAGAACUAUUUCUGCUGUGGAUCCCAGGAUGAUAGGAUGACUUGCAGCUGAGACCUGAGUUGAAUAAGCUAGUCUAUAGUGGAGAAAUUUCUAUGAAUUUCUUGUAAGUUAUAGGAUUUGAGGCUCCAAGAUGGUUUCAAGCUCCCAUAGAAGCUGAGUGGCAGUAAAGGAUUUACAUGGGAUGGGGAGGAUAUACCAACAUUUUUUAUAAAUUUGAAAUUUGGGGAAUUCCUGCAUGGAGUGUAUCAAUUUCUCGAAUUAAGGUUUGAUGGUCCUUGAGGAGGGAGAGGGGGUGUUCUUUGCAAUGAUAACUUAUCAUCACCUGUAUGCGCAGGUGUGUCUGCACACCUUGCCUGAGUGUUAGAGAAUUUUUUUUUCCCACUUGCAACGCUGCUACCCUCUAGGUCUCAGUGAGGAUAUAACUGAAGUUAGUUUUGUGUUGAGGGGAUGUAACUGAAGCAAAAUAUUUUUUUUGUGAGGGGAUAUAACUGAAGCAAGUUUUUUUUUGUGAGGGGAUAUAACUGAAGCAAAUUUUUUUUUUUUUGUGAGGGGAUAUAACUGAAGCAAGUUCAUCUUUUUUACAACAGCGAAGCCUUGAUCCCAAGAUUGAUUUAGGGUCGGCUAACAAGAAUUGUCAUAAGAAAUGGCUAACAAGAAUUGUCAUAAGAAAUGGCGAACAAGAAUUGUCAUAAGAAAUCGGCUAACAAGUUUAUCUUCCCUACCAAUUUGACUGGCCGACAGUACGAGGUGUAUAAAUAUCAAUUUCUUUACUAGACCAUCUUUUUUGUGCUCUAAAUCAAAAACAUUCCCUCCUUAGACUUGAGGAUGUGUUCAAAAAAGGACUCGGGGAAGGGCUAACAAAGGACUCGAGGAAGGGCUAACAAAGGACUCGAGGAAGGGCUUCAGUAUGGAGUGAACCUGAAGCACCAGGAGUAUUUCGCCGACAAUCCUUCGACGGGGAUGGAUCCAGCUCCAAGAGAUGAAUAGCUUGAUGGAGUCAAAAUUGAUGAGAUCUUGUACAAAUCUGCUUAGAUGACAUGCUUUCAGCGUUUGGAACUUGAAUUCUCACGUAUCAAAGAAACUGGUCAUAGCCUGUAGGCUGUAGCUGCUUGCCCAUUAACUCUUUCUAGCCGUCUGUUGUAUUCUGGCCCUUUUAAGUCUUCUAUGGUAUUUCUGUACUACUAGAUAUUUGUCUCAUCAUUUGUUUCUAUGUUUAUUUCGUCCAAAAUAUAAAAGAUUACAUAAAUUUCUCUA